rnacentral:pre_miRNA from 10 species
UACAACUCCUGCAACAUAUCCGCACCCGGUUGGAAGACUAGUGAUUUUGUUGUUAUAGCAACAACAAUCUAUGGUCUCCUGCACGGAAGUGGAAACUAACAACGGUUUUGUCG